CGCCUCUUGCUACACCCAGUAUAAGAGGUCUCGCCUGCCCAGUGAUAAUUUUAACGGCCGCGGUAUCAUGACCGUGCAAAGGUAGCGUAAUCACUUGUCUUUUAAAUAAAGACCCGUAUGAAAGGCAAAACGAAAAUUCAACUGUCUCUUUAAUCUAAUCAGUGAAAUUAAUCUCUCCGUGCAGAAGCGGAGAUAACCAUAUAAGACGAGAAGACCCUAUGGAGCUUUAAACAUGAAAUUAACCACACAAACCAACAACCAACAGGUAAAAAAUAAAAAUGUGUGGCCAUACCCUGAGUUUUCGGUUGGGGCGACCACGGAAGAAGAAAAUCCUCCGAGAUAAAUAACUUAGAACAACACUUCAAAGACUAAAACACUUGCUAUAAAAUGAUCCACUAAGUGACCAACGAACCAAGUUACCCUAGGGAUAACAGCGCAAUCCUUUCUAAGAGUCCAUAUCGACGAAUGGGUUUACGACCUCGAUGUUGGAUCAGGACACCCAAAUGGUGCAGCCGCUAUUAAAGGUUCGUUUGUUCAACGAUUAAAGUCCUACG
rnacentral:rRNA from 1 species